GCUGAGCUCCGUACCAGACUUACACGGUUACAUCGAUAAGUCGCAGCUGACCGAGGACCUGGGCGGGACCCUGGACUACUGCCACUCCCGGUGGCUGUGCCAGCGCACGGCCAUCGAAAGUUUCGCCCUCAUGGUGAAGCAGACGGCUCAGAUGCUGCAGUCCUUCGGGACCGAGCUGGCCGAAACAGAGCUGCCCAAUGACGUCCAGUCGACAAGCUCAGUGCUGUGUGCUCACACAGAGAAGAAGGACAAGGCGAAGGAGGAUUUGAGGCUGGCACUAAAAGAGGGGCACAGUGUCCUGGAGAGCCUCAGGGAGCUGCAGGCUGAGGGCUCAGAGUCCAGUGUGAACCAGGACCAGCUUGACAACCAGGCCACCGUGCAGAGGCUCCUGGCCCAGCUGAACGAAACCGAGGCUGCCUUCGAUGAGUUCUGGGCAAAGCAUCAGCAGAAGCUGGAGCAGUGUCUGCAGCUCCGGCACUUUGAGCAGGGCUUCCGGGAGGUGAGUGUCCCUGGGUGGAGCCAGCAGCCGCCCUGAUGCCCACGGGGCCUCCUGUGCCUGUGCCCUGGUCCCAGUGCCAGGAGCUGAGCCGUGCCACCCAGUUGACUUUGGCUUAAUGCAGAAAAGUCUCCACUUGCCAGGUGGAGCCUGUGAGAUGAAGUCAGGCUGAGCCUUGAAAUGCACGAUUGAUGACUGCAUCAUUGUAUAGAAAGGUGAUUGAA
rnacentral:sRNA from 1 species